rnacentral:misc_RNA from 1 species
GAUGAAGAACGUAGCGAAAUGCGAUAAGUAGUGUGAAUUGCAGAAUUCAGUGAAUCAUCGAAUCUUUGAACGCACAUUGCGCCCUUUGGCAUUCCUUAGGGCAUGCCUGUUCGAGCGUCAUUUAAACCUUCAAGCUAAGCUUGGUGUUGGGUGACUGUCCGCUUCACGGCGGACUCGCCUCAAAAUUAUUGGCGGCCGGUACAUUGGCUUCGAGCGCAGCAGAAACGCGAACUCGGGCCCGUCGUAUUGGCUCCCAGAAGCUAUCUUCACAAUUUUGACCUCGGAUCAGGUAGGGAUACCCGCUGAACUUAAGCAUAUCAAUAAGCGGAGGA